AAGUCGUAACAAGGUCUCCGUAGGUGAACCUGCGGAAGGAUCAUUACAGAGUUCAUGCCCCUCGGGGUAGAUCUCCCACCCUUGUGUAUCAUUAUUGAACGUUGCUUUGGCGGGCCGCGCCUCGUGCGCCUAGAUUCGCGUCUAGCGUGCCCGCCAGAGGACCCCUAAACUCUGAAUGUUAGUGUCGUCUGAGUACUAUUAAAUAGUUAAAACUUUCAACAACGGAUCUCUUGGUUCUG
rnacentral:misc_RNA from 1 species